CGACACCCUUGGGCCUGUUCCAGAGCUCAGGCGGCCCCAGUGCUGAGCCCGCGCUUUCUGGGAGCCUCCAUAUAUCCUCAAAGCAUCAGGUACCGGGGAGACCCAUCGGGCCGCGGGGGCUCACGGCUGCAAGACUCCCCGCUUCCGUUAGAAUGUCAGCUGCAGACACGUCGCCUUAGUCCCCUGCGUCCUUUGCGUUUAGCUGACCGACGGACCUGAGGCGCUUUCAUCAAGACAAUGACAAGCUUUGCCGUCUUGAACCUAGACCAUGGCAACUUGGGUCUCCCCCAGGUAGCGUCCAGUUGGGUGGACUAACCAGGAUCGAGAGUUGAAAUGCCAAGUACGGUGGAGGCAAGAGGAUGAGAAGUUAGGCUACAUACCAAGUUCUAGACCAGCCUGGGCUAUAUGAGACGCUGCGGGGCGGGGCGGGGGGGGGGGCGGCUGGAAAUCCUCCUUCUGCUCCUGACUAGGCCAAACUCCUAGCCCCAAAGUCCUUCAUCAUGGCCGACUCUGUCUCUUCUGGACAUAAGAGUGCCUGCCAGGAGACUUCUGUGACAUUUGUGUGUAAAGGUUUGAGGGAGCAGGUGGCAUGAAGACCAAAGACAAAGGAGAAACUGGAUGCUAGGGGUACAUGGUUGAUAAGUCCAUUCUGUAGAGGAAGGAAAAAACUUUCUAGACAGGAAACAUGGAGUGGUCAACAGAACUGGAAGCCAGAGAAGUGAAGAUAGGGCCCAUGGAGGAUGAGCAGCAUAGUACACACCAUGUUUUUACCGGAAGAAGCGGUAUCCAGGAAGCUACAGCCUCCCACCGGCUGCUACCCCUACCCUCAUGGUACUACAGAGCCUCCCUAGACAAUGCCAAGGAUUGAAGUGAAAAUUUCUAGUUUCUUUGGAGACUCAGUUGUGUCAGUGAUGUUUUUAUGGAAACUGUCUUGUAAGAGGAUGUUUUGCUGAAGCAGACAUGUGAGAGGAUGUUUUUGCAAGCAGACACAUGGGAGGAUGUUUUGCUGAGAACAGAUGCAUCUUAUUUUUCUGGAAGCUGCCUGGGAAAAGGACAUGUGAUGUGUUGCUAGAGUGGAUGCUUGAGAGGACACACGAUGUUUGGAAAGAAUAUCAGUAUAACCCAACAGACAGUGGAUGAUGCUGUGGUAUUGGUUCGCCUUGCCACUCUUUGCUGGCCUUUGUUGGGCUGUCCCAAUGCUGGUCUUCACGGGUGACACUGUGGCAUUGGUAGCACUGGUUUGACUUGACUUCUUCACUGACUUCGUAGAAAGAAAUGCACCAAAGAACUUCUUGUGAUAUUCUGGUGGCUUUUUGCCAUUUCUGCCAACUCUGGCUAAUUGGCAGAGCCUUGAGGUUUCUUCUGGAUCAAACUCCAUUGCUAACUGGCAAGUGGUGGUUGUAAGUAGAUCAAGCUACCGAUACUGAUUCGUGUGAACUAUGCUACUGAUAUUCUGACAAAGAAGAUUGGAAUUGCUUGAAAAAACUGUUUCUAAACAGGUCCACAUCUUCCUUUACCCUAUUAACCUUUCCUUUCUACUACCUCUGGUGGGUGGUGGGCUAGAAGGGAGAUUAAAGCAUUUAAGAACCCUUAUUAAAGUAGGUUUUGAAAAAUCUAAGCCUACAAAGGCUCAUUCUUUCUUGGUUUUUUUCUUGU
rnacentral:lncRNA from 1 species